GAAAUAGGCGGAGCGUGGUCGCUAAAUUGGUUCCUGUGGAGCUAGGUGGGCUGGGAGAGAGAGGCUUGUGGGAGAUUGUAACCUAGGGCUUUCACAGUUUGUUCACAGAGGCUAUGCCUCGCAUCUACUGAGGAUCUAUCAGCAGAAUACAGACUCUGAAGAUCCCACCAGCACACAUGGAAGGAUCACUUCUGUGAAAUCAGAUGUGGCCACUAUGAAUAUGAAUGUUUUCUAAUGGGAGGCAUUUAAAUGCCUUAGCUGAAGAUUGAUUCAAAGAAAAGCUCUCUUUUGGAUUCAUCUCAACAUCUAUCAGGCCCAGGCAGGGACUGAGAGAAUAGAGAGGAUGUUUUGCCUUUCCCACAAGGACAAAUUAUCGGAGUAUGGAGACCAGCAUGGAGGGAUUCCUGGCUUCUACCAAAUCACAACUAAUGUGGACACCCGGCAAAGGAGGAGACGGGAAAUUGCAUUCUUAUUGACAGGUCCGAGAAAGGGCUAAACUGGGUGAGAUGAAGACGAGUGUGCCAGCCAUGAGAAAGGCCUUGGGGAUCAUCAGGAGACCAGGAGAGGGCGUGGGCCUUCUGCUGGUAGAGUCUCUUUGUGUGAAACCUCUCGGUGCUGCUACUUGCCAUGUCCUAAAAGCUUCUCCAUCACACCCCCAACUGCUGGCGCCACAGCAACAUUUCAGGGAUCCAGAUUAGAGAUUCUCAGCUUUGACUUCUCAUUAGAAUCACUUGGGAGCCUUUUAAAACCACCAGUGCUUGAUGCCCCACCCAGGACCAGUGAAGUCUGAAUCUUCAGG